UCCAGAGUCUAUGUCAGGUCUUCUCCUGUUCCUCUGAGCCACAGUGUACCAUCUUUACCAUGAACACACAUUGUAGUUUAUCUUAACUCCAACACACUGCUCUGCUGCCCCAAAAACUCACUUGAGUACCAAACAUGUAUGAUGCCCCUGUGCGAGUAACAUACAGGCCAGCUGAUCUCCCAGGUGUGUUUCCUGUUCCAGGCUCUGCGUGAACACAGUGAGCAGCUGGAAGAGGCUCAGGUCAGAGCCCACAACAUGGUGUCCAACCACAAACAGGCCACCCAGCUGCUGCAGACCGAGCUGCAGAACAGCCAGGCUCAGAGCGAGGAGAAGGAAAACACCAUCCAGACGCUCCGGAGCAAACUGCGCGAGUCUGAGGUUGGUCUCAAGACAAGAUGGUUGACCCUGUUCAUCGUUAUAUCCGACUCUGAGCUAAAGUCUCGCACUCGUUUGACUUUGUUUAAAUGUUGGUUCUUUGACUCGCAUUGAGCAGCUCAUGUUGUAAUACUGUUUCUUUCCAUAUCAGAAAAAAGCUUCACCCAGUGCUGCGGAGCUGGAGAAACUCAAGACUAGACUGUUCAAAAUGGAGGCUGAGUUGAGUUCAGCAUCUGAUAAACACCACCAACAGGUCCAGAGGAUGACCACGGCACUGAAUGAGAAAGAGGAUUCGUUGAGGAAGCUGAAGGAGACCGUGAGGAGAUCACAGCAGCAGGGAGAGGAGUCAUUCUUGCAGGGGCAGGAGCUUCAUGAUAAACUGACCAACCCCAGAGGUUUAGUGAUCAAGAGCAGCAUUCUUCUGGACAAGGCCAAACUGGAGGAGGAGGUCAAACGGCUUCACCUCAAAAUAACUGAGCUGGAACGGUAAAGUGAACCAGUCCGAGGCCGGAACUGCUCCGUGGUUUUCUAUGAUUCUUCAGUCCUGCUUGACAUCUGUGUCCACGUCUCCACAGCUCGCUGUCCGCUCAGCACACGGAGAUCGGCAAGUGGAAGAACCGAGCCAUCAAGCUGAAGGCGAGGAGCAAACAUGAAGUGGACAAGCCUUUAUCACCCUGCACUCCGACCAAGAGGGGCCCUCCAUUGACCUCCGACCCCUCCAGCUUCCUCUGCUCACCCAAGAGAUUCCUGGUUACUCCCAGGAA
rnacentral:lncRNA from 1 species